rnacentral:lncRNA from 1 species
GAGGUGUUGGAUUUGAUAUGGUGUAUAAUUGAAAGACAAAGCCCAAAAUGACUUGAAGCUAUGUAGGUGGAACACUUGGAAGAAUAGCCUUUCCAUUAACUAAGAUGGGGAUAACUGAGAGAAUUGGAAGAUGAGGGGAAAAUACUGGCAGCUCAUUUUUUAACAUACUCAGUCUGAGAUGUCUAUUAAAUAUCUAAGGGAAAAUGGCAAUGAGGCAGAGAGUUUCAGGCUGAGGAUAUAAAAGUGGUAGUCAUCGUCUAAAUAAAGAUUCUGAAAUUAAUCAUCUCCUCCCAGCCCUCAAAACAAGCUCAGGAAUCUAGCUACCUAUAAAGGAUAUCCUUGUUGAUCCCAAAAGCAGAGUGCAGACUUGAUAGAAAGCCAAGGGAAAAAAGGUAGUGAUCACUGAAUUCGAAUGUAGAGCUUGUGGUUUUCUCUGUGGUUGCUUCAGAAUGAAGCACCUAUUGCUGUAUACUGUGUAUGGGACAAGCUCAUUUUUAUCUGCAGAGGCUUCUUUCAGGGAAGACAAUAGAGGCCAUGGCUGGGAGUGGAGAUGUUUAAGAAGCCAAAGCAGCAAUGAGCUGAAUGCUCUGAGUGAUUGUGUACAUAAUGGUGUGGAUUUGGGGAUGCUUAUAUUGCUAUAGACUGUGUUUCCUUUGUAAAAUAACUAAAUGUAAUUAUUAAUUUAUCUCAGUAAUUUUUUUGAUCUUUAACAGAGAGUGGUUUUAACAUUAAAGCCUGAAUUCAAUUGUGUUGUGGGAUUUAUAAGGGAAAGUUUGCUGUCUACACUUUAGCCAUUUAGCUCACUGUAUGAAAGUACAGACCCCCACAGACCCUCAGGCGAGUGUGGAGGGCCCAGAACAACUAUAAGUGAACUACAAUGUGCGGCUUGAGGGAAGCAAUAAUGCAGUGCUCAUGAGAACUGAGAAUGUAAUAUACUUAUAGCUUGGGCUUCCAGAUAUGCUUAAGGAUGGAGAAAACACCAAAAGGAGGAUCCUUAGGUAGAGGCUGAAGCUAGUAGAAUCUUGGCAUACAUAUGAGUGUGAUUUCAUUCAUAUACACAGGGUGGUAAAGUCUCGAGACAAUUAAAUUAUGUAUAAUUAAGUUAUAAUAGCUAAGAAGACUGAAGCCAAUUUUCAGUCAUUGCUAAGAAUAGUAAAAUUAACCAUAUAAUGCAUUUGUGUAUGCUGAUCUUCUUAAGAUUUUUUUAAAGCUUUGUUUUCUUACCUGUAAAUAUUUUAUUGCAUAUUCACAGUUUCAUCAUAUUCAUAUGUUUUGUAGCUUGAUUCAAGAUGUAAAUAGUAUUUUUCAAAAAUUUCAGUGAUAGUAUCAAAACAUUUACGUGACUAUUAUGUCUUACAAGUUGUUAUAUUAAGUCAGAAGAAAUAUUUUAGUCUUUGGAUAUUUUUGUCAAACAGGACAUUUGCUAUUUUAAUUCCUAAAAAUGAAAAAUCAUAGUGAUAAUAUACUAAUCUCCCACUUUGAUACCAAAUUUAAUCAUGAUGAUUUUGAUAAGUAUAUCACAAAACACUUUAAUAGUCUGAAGAUGUAGAUAUGUGUAAAAUGCCAGCCUUAUAAAUUAGGCUGCAAAAAACUUGAGUAAUAAUUUUUAAAGACUGGAGAAAUUUUAAUGGCAGAUUUUCUAACUUCUUAUUCUAGAGGAAACAUGUUACAUUACAAUUUCUAUAAGGAUAAAAUUCAAGAGUUCCCAUGUUGCAUGGCAGGUUAAGGAUCCAAUGUUGUCACUGCAGUGGCUUGUGUCUUAAGUUGCUGCUAUAGCACAGGCUUGAUCCCUCGCCUGGGAACUUCUGCAUGCCAUCACUAUGCUCAAGAAAAGCCCAAACCAAAAAACCAAACAAAGCAAACCAAAAGGAUAAAAUUCAAAAGACGAUCACCUAGUUUGGUCUACAGCCUAUGACAUUAUAAAAAGGUGUUCACACCUCUUUUUAUAUUUAAAAGAUGUAUGCAUAUUUAAAGUGGUUGAUUGGUAUAGUGUUGUAUAUCCAUCCAACAAUAAAAUUACCAAGUGAGGAGUUCCCGUUGUGGCUCAGUGAUUAACAUAUCCGACUAGGAACCAUGAGGUUGCAGGUUUGAUCCCUGGCCUUGCUCAGUGGGUUAAGGAUCUGGCAUUGCCGUGAGCUGUGGUGUAGGUCGCAGACGCGGUUAGGAUCCCUCAUUGCGGUGGCUCUGGUGUAGACCGGUGGUUACGGCUCCGAUUAGACCCCUAGCCUGGAAACCUCCAUAUGCCUCAGGAGCAGCCUUAG